rnacentral:rRNA from 1 species
CACGUAGGCUCCAAGCGUUGUCCGGAUUUAUUGGGCGUAAAGAGCUCGUAGGCGGUUUAGUAAGUCGGGUGUUAAAACUCUGGGCUCAACCUGGGAACUGCGUUUGAAACUACAAGGCUAGAGUGUAGCAGAGGGGGGUGGAAUUCCACGUGUAGCAGUGAAAUGCGUAGAGAUGUGGAGGAACACCGAUGGCGAAGGCAGCCCCCUGGGUUAACACUGACGCUCAGGCACGAAAGCGUGGGGAGCAAACAGG